rnacentral:rRNA from 1 species
CCUACGGGAGGCAGCAGUGAGGAAUAUUGGUCAAUGGGCGGAAGCCUGAACCAGCCAAGUAGCGUGCGGGAUGAAGGCCCUACGGGUCGUAAACCGCUUUUGCACGGGGAUAACACCCUCCACUUGUGGAGGUCUGCAGGUACCGUGCGAAUAAGGGCCGGCUAAUUCCGUGCCAGCAGCCGCGGUAAUACGGAAGGCCCGAGCGUUAUCCGGAUUCAUUGGGCUUAAAGGGAGCGUAGGCGGGCGUUCAAGUCAGCUGUAAAAUCGCGCGGCUCAACCGCGCCCCGCAGUUGAAACUGGACGCAUUGAGUUCACAACAGGCAGGCGGAAUGCGUGGUGUAGCGGUGAAAUGCAUAGAUAGCACGAGGAACCCCGAUUGCGAAGGCAGCCUGCCGGGGUGCGACUGACGCUGAGGCUCGAAGGUGCGGGUAUCAAACAGGAUUAGAUACCCGGGUAGUC